UCGGGAAUCUUGGGCAAUGGGCGCAAGCCUGACCCAGCGACGCCGCGUGAGCGAUGAAGGCCUUCGGGUCGUAAAGCUCUGUCGGGAGGGAAGAACGGCCGUGAGUCGAAUAGGCUCACGGUUUGACGGUACCUCCAAAGGAAGGACCGGCUAACUCCGUGCCAGCAGCCGCGGUAAUACGGAGGGUCCGAGCGUUGUUCGGAAUCACUGGGCGUAAAGCGCGUGUAGGCGGUCGGGCAAGUCGGUUGUGAAAUCCCGAGGCUCAACCUCGGAACUGCAAUCGAAACUGCUCGACUAGAGUCGCGGAGAGGGUGGCGGAAUUCCCGGUGUAGGGGUGAAAUCCGUAGAUAUCGGGAGGAACACCAGUGGCGAAGGCGGCCACCUGGACGCUGACUGACGCUGAGACGCGAAAGCGUGGGGAGCAAACAGGAUUAGAUACCCGCGUAGUCC
rnacentral:rRNA from 1 species